rnacentral:rRNA from 2 species
GUAUCUGAUCGUAAAGCUCUGUUGUUGAGGAAGAACAAGUGCGUUCAAUAUGUCUGCACCAUGACGGUACCUAGCUAGUAAGCACGCUACUAUCGUGCCAGCAGCCGCGGUAUAUCGUAGGUGGCAGCGUGUCUGGAAAUAUUGGGCGUAAAGGCUAGCAGGCGGUUUUGUUAAGUGUGAUGUGAGAGCCCCCGGCUCAUACCGGGGGAGAAUCAUUGGAAUCUGGGGAGCUUGAGUGCUGAAGAGGAGGAGUGGAGAUUUCACGUGUAGCGGGGAAAUGUGUAGAGAUGUGGAGGAACACCAGUGGAGAAGGGGACUCUCUGGUGUGUAACUGACGCUGAGGAGCGAGAAGCGUGGGGAGCGAACAGGAUUAGAUACCCAGGUAGUUCACGCCGUAAACGAUGAGUGCUAAGUGUUAGGGGGUUUCCGCCCCUUAGUGCUGCAGCUAACGCAUUAAGCACUACGCCUGGAGAGUACGGUCGCAAGAUUGAAACUCAAAGGAAUAGACGGGGGCCCGCACAAGCGGUGGAGCAUGUGGUUUAAUUUGAAGCAACGCGAAGAACCUUACCAGGUCUUGACAUCCUCUGACAAUCCUAGAGAUAGGACGUCCCCUUCGGGGGCAGAGUGACAGGUGGUGCAUGGUUGUCGUCAGCUCGUGUCGUGAGAUGUUGGGUUAAGUCCCGCAACGAGCGCAACCCUUGAUCUUAGUUGCCAGCAUUCAGUUGGGCACUGUAAGGUGACUGACGGUGACAAACCGGAGGAAGGUGGGGAAGACGUCAAAUCAUCAUGCCCCUUAUGACCUGGGCUACACACGUGCUACAAUGGACAGAACAAAGGGCAGAGAAACCGGGGGGUUAAGCCAAUCCCACAAAUCUGUUAUCAGUUCGGAUCGCAGUUUGCAACUUGACUGCGUGAAGCUGGAAUCGUUAGUAAUCGCGGAUCAGCAUGCCGCGGUGAAUACGUUCCCGGGCUUUGUACACACCGCCCGUCACACCACGAGAGUUUGUAACACCCGAAGUAAAUGAGGUAACCUUUAUGGAGCCAGCCACGGAAGUUGGACAGUUAGUUAAU